rnacentral:lncRNA from 1 species
AAACUCUCGAGAUUCGAAUUUUCUGAUAAAAGGGCUAUUUAUUAUGAAUUAUUGAAGUUCCGGAGUUCCGAAAUAAUUAAUUUUUGGAAGUUUUAAAUAUUUAUAUUAACAAAAACGUUUUUUUACAUUUGUAAGCCUCAUGAAUCACAUGUUAAGUUGCUGAAAUCAGAAGUCUAAGUGGGCGUAGGAAAUUUUUAAUAUAAAUUAAUAUUUUAUUAAAUUUUCUGCUUUGGUGUUCUAAGCAUUUUC